UACGUAGGGGCUAGCGUUAUCCGGAAUUACUGGGCGUAAAGGGUGCGUAGGUGGUUUCUUAAGUCAGAGGUGAAAGGCUACGGCUCAACCGUAGUAAGCCUUUGAAACUGGGAAACUUGAGUGCAGGAGAGGAGAGUGGAAUUCCUAGUGUAGCGGUGAAAUGCGUAGAUAUCAGGAGGAACACCGGUGGCGAAGGCGGGUCUCUGGGCCUUACCUGACGCUGAGGAGCGAAAGCGUGGGGAGCGAACAGGAUUAGAUACCCUGGUAGUCCCUGAGCGGGCU
rnacentral:rRNA from 1 species